rnacentral:lncRNA from 1 species
UUACAGGGAAUGAUAUUUUCCUCAAGGCAUUUCAAGCAGUUUGUGAGCAGGAAUCUCACACAGAAACCCAAGUACAGGAACCCCAAUACAGCUGGGCCAGACAUCCAGGACUCUGGGGCUGGACAGUAGAUAGCCACAAAAAUGAGACUUUCUGUGCCGCUAUUCUGUACGUUUUCUACUAAUUAUCUUGUCCUUGCUCCCAAUUUCUACUCUUCCAUAGCUUCAGCUCUUCAUGUCCCAAAAUGGCUGCCCCAGACUGACUUGACAUGACUUUGCAGUUCCAGUGCCCCAUCAAUUAUCCACUUACGUCUGUCUUUCAGUUUCAGUUCCUAAGAGAAGAAAACUUAGCUAGAAACGUGUAUUUAGGGGCAGGGUCUUUUGUAGCAGUGUUCCAUCAGAGGUCCUGGUUAGCGGCUUUCAGAUGUCUACCUUUGACAGCUGUCUUAGCUUGGGCUAGAAGUAGGGGGUCUUCAAAAUGAGCUGUGGGUAGGCAAGCCUAUAAAAUGCUCAGUACAUAUCAGUUAAUCAUCAAAAUAAAUAGCAAUACCAAAUCAGUAUUUUCACAUGGGGAGGGAGGUGAAGAAACUAAGAAGAAAGUAGCACAGGUGGCCCCGAGUCAAUAAAGGGCACUGGAAGAGGGGCAAAUCUUAACUUUAUUUCCACUGCCUGUUUUCCUAGAUCCAUAAUCCUAGGCUUUCUGACAUACACCCCAAAAAACAGCUCUUAGGCUCAGUCUUGCCUCUGGUGCUACUGAAUGAAAUAAGAAGUAUAAUGAGGGCUUGGAAUCCAGUUAAGCUCCCUAGACCCUCAGUGUCUCCCAGGUCUGGGUGUAGACCCCAAUUGCCAUCUUUUCUCCAAGUGGCUCCACCCUGAGCCCCUGUGUUGAGUAGUGUCAUGGAACCCUGACUAGCUCCUACCAAAUCUGCUUCCUCAUGGCUGCCAGCCAUGCCUGGCUUAUUACUAGCAUAAUGGACACUUUGGUAUAUGUCUUUCCUGGUUCCUAAAUUGAACUACCACACAGAAACCCUCCCUCUGUGCUCUGGCCAACCACCAAUGAACCCCUGAAUUCUGCCCAAACUUGCAAAACCACACUGCUGAGAGUACUGCAGGCAUUCCCAGUAAAUGCAACCCUUAAUUGGCCAAGCAAGAGCUGAGGUCUUAGCAUGCAUUGCAUCUGAGAAGAACACAAAUUUUGCAGACUUCAUAAUUAUCUCAAAGGGAAUUUUAUCUUCACUUUAGCAGGGAUGAAAUAGAAGCUUUAUAUAGAAGUGUUGCUCUCCAGCUAACACAUUCAGGAAGCCUUGCUUUGCAUCAUUUAUGAAGGUUUUUGUUGGUUUUAACACCUUGAACUUCCUUAUGAAGAUACUUGUUUCCCUCAAGGACUUCUUAAUCAA